GGCGGGGUAGCUCAGUUGGUUAGAGCACAGGAUUCAUAACCCUGAGGUCGGCGGAUCGUACCCGCCUCCCGCUA
rfam:Hymenobacter sp. CCM 8649 NODE_29_length_43401_cov_133.02_ID_57, whole genome shotgun sequence.